ensembl:lncRNA
UAAGUUCCUUUGGGACGCUUUCAAGCAAGCACUUAGGAAGCGAUAGCCAGCCUUUUGUGUUUGGGAGGUGAUACUAAUGGGAAUUAGGACAAAAUUUACUUGGUUUCAGAUCACAUCAUAUUGCUUUCUGCAGAGCACCUUCUAUCUUCCAACCGUGUAGUUGUGGAGUCCUGGCCUUUUGCAACGAAUGCUGUGUGAAUUAGAUGAUGGGUUUGUGUGUGUGCAUUGAUGCUGAAGAGUUCAUUAGGAGUGCAUUUUGGAGACUAAUUCUAUUGAUUGUCUAAGUGGUGCUCAUCUGGUCUGUGUGCGUGUGAAGGACUCAGCAAGGGGAAAGAAAGUGCUGUGAACAAGCAGCGUGCAGAGCGGGAGGGAAUGCUUUCCACUCUUGCAAACUUAGAAGGAAGGUCUUGACCACAGUGAGGCCAAGAUCUUGAGUGGAGGGAGGGAACGAGGCAAAAAAGAAAUAUCCAGACUUGAAAUGAAAUAAGGCUUCCUGAAGCUAGGCAGAGUUUUGGUUAUAUGUGAAAGAGGCUCCAGCCUAUGGCUGCUGCUUGGCGACUUACGUAGCACAGAAAAGAAAUCCUGCCUUAUAUGUUGGGUGUGUUGAAUGAUGGGUCAAAAUAUUUUUCUUGCAGUGUGAUGUCAGUCACAUUUGAUGUGGCUGUUUCACAAGGGGAUCACAUAGGUAUUCUGUUUUUUUUUUCUACAUGGUAGGUGCUAGUAGAUCUCACCUGUGAGUCAGUCUGCUAAUGUAUGCAAAUCUUUCCUGAUUCAUGCACUGGAAGUGAAUGAUGUAUUUUUUUUUUUCUACUGGAAAUAUGCAUUUCUUAUAAACUACAAUAGGAAUGGCAGCGUUUCUGAGGAAAGGCAAUCUAUUUUUAUUAAAAGCAAUGUGAAUUGGAUGUCUUGUACAAAACUUCUGAAAUGUGCUGUAUAGAACAUGUGUCAUUCUCUGUCCUCACUUCACUGUGAAUCAGCAUAGGAAUCCUGCUUUAAGCAUAUGCCUGUAUUACUGCUGUCUGUCUCUCUAUUCAGGAAUUCAGACUGCGCUAAGGGGCCAGCUCACCUCCUUUAGCCUUGAGAGGAGGUGGCAAAAAACCUUUACUCUCGUGUCUGAAUAUUCUUUCAUCGCGUGCUGUUGUUCUUAAAAGUCUGUUCUAUGUAAUCACUGAAAGUCUUGCUAGAGUUUAGUCUUCACCAUUUGGAAUAUUGAGAAAUCACUGAGCAGGCUUGCUCCCCGCCUUGCAAAGAGCUGCUGUUCUCUCAGUGCAGAUCUCUUUCUUGCAGAUGAG